rnacentral:rRNA from 1 species
AGCUAAUAGAUACCCGGGUAGUCCCAGCAGUAAACGGUGCGCGUUUGGUGUGAGCAGAUUCGACUCUGUUCGCGCCGGAGCUAACGUGUUAAACGCGCCGCCUGGGAAGUACGAUCGCAAGAUUAAAACUCAAAGAAAUUGACGGGGGCCCGCACAAGCGGUGGAGUAUGUGGCUUAAUUCGAUGCAACGCGAAGAACCUUACCUGGGUUUGACAUGCAUCUCUAAGGAGGUGAAAGCUUCCGAGGGUAGCAAUACCCGAUUUGCACAGGUGCUGCAUGGCUGUCGUCAGCUCGUGUCGUGAGAUGUUGGGUUUAAGUCCCGCAACGAGCGCAACCCUUGUAUGCUGUUGCUAUGCUUACGCAUAGCUCUCUGCGUAGACUGCCCCGUGAAACGGGGAGGAAGGUGGGGAUGACGUCAAGUCAGCAUGGCCCUUACACCCAGGGCUGCACACGUACUACAAUGCUCAGUACAAUUAGAACCUGCCCGCGAGGGUUGGGAAA